rnacentral:lncRNA from 1 species
AUCACGACUAAGUCUGUGUUAAAAGCUUUGACUCAGUUUUUCUCACUGUUUGGAAUCCCUAAGGUCAUUCAGAGUGAUCAAGGAUCAAAUUUCACCUCUAAUCUCUUUGGUCAGGUUCUCCAACAGCUCCAUAUUAAACACAAUUUGUCUAGCGCCUAUCAUGCGCAAAGUCAAGGAGCACUGGAACGUUUCCAUCAAACACUUAAGUCUUUGUUGAGAGCUUAUUGUACUGAGAUGGAUAAGGAUUGGGAGGAGGGGUUGCCUUGGUUACUGUUAGCCGCUAGGGAGGUUUCACAGGAGAGCACAGGUUUCAGUCCAAAUGACCUUGUGUUUGGACAUAGGGUGUGUGGACUUUUAUCUGUUCUCCAGGAUGAUUGGAAGUCUCCCGAGCCUCCUCAGUCCCUGUUAUCGUAUGUGUGUGAUUUCCGGCGACGCUUGUACGCCGCUGGUGAAAUGGCGAAAGAAAAGCUAUCAUCUUCACAGGAAAGGAUGAAGGGCAUAUUUGAUCGUCGAACUGAGCCUCGUCACUUUAGUCCAGGUGACCAGGUUCUUGCUCUGCUGCCAAUUAUUGGUUCUCCUUUUCAAGCCAAGUUUCAAGGUCCAUAUACAGUGGUGCGCCAGUACACUGAGCAGAAUUAUCUAGUUGCCACUCCAGAACGGAGAAAAGCACACCAACUGUGCCAUGUAAAUUUGUUAAAACCCUAUUAUGCACGUUCAACGGAGACUGAACAGUGGGAGUCUACAGAGGACGGUAAACCUGUUCUUUUGGCUGAUACCGUUACAUCCUUUGGUUCUUCUCAUGCUAGGUCUGUGCAUGAUGAGGAAGAUGUUCCUGGUCCCGACGAUUGCAUAUUGCAAGGUAGAUUGAAAAAUUCAGAGACACUGGAUAUUUUGGACGACCUUCUUACUCAUCUACCUGUUGAUGAGCGAAAAGAGAUGGUUGGUCUGAUUUGGAAAUUUCCAGAGUUGUUUUCUGAUACACCAACACGUACAAACUUGAUAGAGCAUGAUAUUGACAUUGGAGAUGCUGACCCCAUUCGUCAGCGGUUCUAUAGAGUUUCUGCAGAGAAACUGCGUUGUCUGGAUGCUGAGGUCAGGUACAUGCUGGAGAGUAAGAUAGCAGAGCCUUCUUUCUCCAGUUGGGCUUCUCCCUGUAUCUUGGUCAGUAAACCGGAUGGAACAAACAGAUUUUGUACGGACUACCGUAAGGUAAAUGCUGUCACUAAGCCAGAUUCAUUUCCUCUUCCUCGGAUGGAGGACUGCGUAGAUCAAGUCGGAGCAGCUAAGUUUGUGAGCAAAUUUGACCUGUUAAAGGGCUAUUGGCAG